rnacentral:rRNA from 1 species
AGGAAUAUUGGUCAAUGGGCGAGAGUCUGAACCAGCCAAGUAGCGUGAAGGAUGACUGCCCUAUGGGUUGUAAACUUCUUUUAUAAAGGAAUAAAGUCGGGUAUGGAUACCCGUUUGCAUGUACUUUAUGAAUAAGGAUCGGCUAACUCCGUGCCAGCAGCCGCGGUAAUACGGAGGAUCCGAGCGUUAUCCGGAUUUAUUGGGUUUAAAGGGAGCGUAGAUGGAUGUUUAAGUCAGUUGUGAAAGUUUGCGGCUCAACCGUAAAAUUGCAGUUGAUACUGGAUAUCUUGAGUGCAGUUGAGGCAGGCGGAAUUCGUGGUGUAGCGGUGAAAUGCUUAGAUAUCACGAAGAACUCCGAUUGCGAAGGCAGCCUGCUAAGCUGCAACUGACAUUGAGGCUCGAAAGUGUGGGUAUCAAACAGGAUUAGAUACCCUGGUAGUCCACACGGUAAACGAUGAAUACUCGCUGUUUGCGAUAUACUGCAAGCGGCCAAGCGAAAGCGUUAAGUAUUCCACCUGGGGAGUACGCCGGCAACGGUGAAACUCAAAGGAAUUGACGGGGGCCCGCACAAGCGGAGGAACAUGUGGUUUAAUUCGAUGAUACGCGAGGAACCUUACCCGGGCUUAAAUUGCAGAUGAAUUACGGUGAAAGCCGUAAGCCGCAAGGCAUCUGUGAAGGUGCUGCAUGGUUGUCGUCAGCUCGUGCCGUGAGGUGUCGGCUUAAGUGCCAUAACGAGCGCAACCCUUGUUGUCAGUUACUAACAGGUUCCGCUGAGGACUCUGACAAGACUGCCAUCGUAAGAUGUGAGGAAGGUGGGGAUGACGUCAAAUCAGCACGGCCCUUACGUCCGGGGCUACACACGUGUUACAAUGGGGGGUACAGAAGGCCGCUACCUGGUGACAGGAUGCCAAUCCCAAAAACCUCUCUCAGUUCGGAUCGAAGUCUGCAACCCGACUUCGUGAAGCUGGAUUCGCUAGUAAUCGCGCAUCAGCCAUGGCGCGGUGAAUACGUUCCCG